rnacentral:rRNA from 1 species
AUUGAACGCUGGCGGCAUGCCUUACACAUGCAAGUCGAACGGCAGCACGGGUGCUUGCACGUGGUGGCGAGUGGCGAACGGGUGAGUAAUACAUCGGAACAUGUCCUGUAGUGGGGGAUAGCCCGGCGAAAGCCGGAUUAAUACCGCAUACGAUCCACGGAUGAAAGCGGGGGACCUUCGGGCCUCGCGCUAUAGGGUUGGCCGAUGGCUGAUUAGCUAGUUGGUGGGGUAAAGGCCUACCAAGGCGACGAUCAGUAGCUGGUCUGAGAGGACGACCAGCCACACUGGGACUGAGACACGGCCCAGACUCCUACGGGAGGCAGCAGUGGGGAAUUUUGGACAAUGGGCGAAAGCCUGAUCCAGCAAUGCCGCGUGUGUGAAGAAGGCCUUCGGGUUGUAAAGCACUUUUGUCCGGAAAGAAAUCCUUGGCUCUAAUACAGUCGGGGGAUGACGGUACCGGAAGAAUAAGCACCGGCUAACUACGUG